CCGUUAGCCUUCGGUAGUGGGGAAGGUAAACAACGCUGGAAACGAAGCUGCUAAUAACCGCCAUGAUGCAGUUGAGUCGCAUGGCUCUGACUGCCAAAGAUUUAUCGCUCUGAGAUGGACUCGCGUCUGAUUAGCUAGUUGGUGGGGCAACGGCCCACCAAGGCGACGAUCAGUAGCCGGACUGAGAGGUUGGCCGGCCACAUUGGGACUGAGACACGGCCCAGACUCCUACGGGAGGCAGCAG
rnacentral:rRNA from 1 species